rnacentral:rRNA from 1 species
GAUGAACGCUGGCGGCGUGCUUAACACAUGCAAGUCGAACGAAGCACUUUAUUUGAUUUCCUUCGGGACUGAUUAUUUUGUGACUGAGUGGCGGACGGGUGAGUAACGCGUGGGUAACCUGCCUUGUACAGGGGGAUAACAGUUGGAAACGGCUGCUAAUACCGCAUAAGCGCACAGCAUCGCAUGAUGCAGUGUGAAAAACUCCGGUGGUAUAAGAUGGACCCGCGUUGGAUUAGCUAGUUGGUGAGGUAACGGCCCACCAAGGCGGCGAUCCAUAGCCGACCUGAGAGGGUGACCGGCCACAUUGGGACUGAGACACGGCCCAAACUCCUACGGGAGGCAGCAGUGGGGAAUAUUGCACAAUGGGCGAAAGCCUGAUGCAGCGACGCCGCGUGAGCGAAGAAGUAUUUCGGUAUGUAAAGCUCUAUCAGCAGGGAAGAUAAUGACGGUACCUGACUAAGAAGCACCGGCUAAAUACGUG